UCCCAGCAUCAUAAGGUACUAACAUCCCAGCAUCAUAAGGUACUAACAUCCCAGCAUCAUAAGAUACUAACAUCCCAGCAUCAUAAGGUACUAACAUCCCAGCAUCAUAAGGUACUAACAUCCCAGCAUCAUAAGAUACUAACAUCCCAGCAUCAUAAGGUACUAACAGCCCAGCAUCAUAAGAUACUAACAUCCCAGCAUCAUAAGAUACUA